rnacentral:tRNA from 1 species
GUGAGUAUAGUCUAACUAAGACUCUAGAUUGUGGAUCUAAGAAUAGGAGUUAAAAUCUUCUUACUCACC